AGGAGGAUUAAUACCGCAUGUGGUCUUCGGAUCAAAGGUGGCUUCGGCUGCCGCUUCAGGAUGGGCUCGCGGCCUAUCAGCUUGUUGGUGAGGUAACGGCUCACCAAGGCGAUGACGGGUAGCUGGUCUGAGAGGACGAUCAGCCUCACUGGAACUGAGACACGGUCCAGACACCUACGGGUGGCAGCAGUCGAGAAUCAUUCACAAUGGGCGCAAGCCUGAUGGUGCAACGCCGCGUGGAGGAUGACGGCCUUCGGGUUGUAAACUCCUGUCAUCUGGGAGUAAUCCUUGUGCGUUAAUAGCGUGCAAGGUUGAUAGUACCAGAAGAGGAAGCGCCGGCUAACUCCGUGCCAGCAGCCGCGGUAAUACGGAGGGCGCAAGCGUUGUUCGGAAUCACUGGGCGUAAAGCGUGCGUAGGCGGCGCGGUAAGUCAGAUGUGAAAUCUCUGGGCUCAACCCGGAAACUGCAUCCGAUACUACCGUGCUGGAGUAAUGGAGGGGUAGCUGGAAUUCUCGGUGUAGCAGUGAAAUGCGUAGAUAUCGAGAGGAACACUCGUGGCGAAGGCGAGCUACUGGACAUUUACUGACGCUGAGGCACGAAGGCCAGGGUAGCGAAAGGGAUUAGAUAC
rnacentral:rRNA from 1 species